GACGAACGCUGGCGGCGUGCCUAAUACAUGCAAGUUGAGCGCUGAAGGUUGGUACUUGUACCCACUGGAUGAGCAGCGAACGGGUGAGUAACGCGUGGGGAAUCUGCCUUUGAGCGGGGGACAACAUUUGGAAACGAAUGCUAAUACCGCAUAAAAACUUUAAACACAAGUUUUAAGUUUGAAAGAUGCAAUUGCAUCACUCAAAGAUGAUCCCGCGUUGUAUUAGCUAGUUGGUGAGGUAAAGGCUCACCAAGGCGAUGAUACAUAGCCGACCUGAGAGGGUGAUCGGCAACAUUGGGACUGAGACACGGCCCAAACUCCUGCGGGAGGCAGCAGUAGGGAAUCUUCGGCAAUGGACGAAAGUCUGACCGAGCAACGCCGCGUGAGUGAAGAAGGUUUUCGGAUCGUAAAACUCUGUUGGUAGAGAAGAACGUUGGUGAGAGUGGAAAGCUCAUCAAGUGACGGUAACUACCCAGAAAGGGACGGCUAACUACGUG
rnacentral:rRNA from 1 species